UACGAAGGGGGCUAGCGUUGUUCGGAAUUACUGGGCGUAAAGGGCGCGUAGGCGGCGUGUCAAGUCAGGCGUGAAAGCCCCGGGCUCAACCUGGGAACCGCGCUUGAGACUGGCAUGCUCGAGUUCGGGAGAGGAUGGUGGAAUUCCCAGUGUAGAGGUGAAAUUCGUAGAUAUUGGGGAGAACACCGAUGGCGAAGGCAGCCAUCUGGACCGACACUGACGCUGAGGCGCGAAAGCGUGGGGAGCAAACAGG
rnacentral:rRNA from 1 species